AUAGUAUGGAGGAGGGUAUAAAAAAUGUAUUUCCCAAUACUAAUUUUAUUAAAUAAAUACUUUAAAUUAGAUUACUCUUUUUCUAUCAAAUAAAUAUAUUUUAUAACAACAAAUAUAUUUUCGCACUUUUUUGUUUGACAAAAACCGUGUGUAUUUUACAUUAAAUAAUCGUUUAAAAAAGUUGCACGAUAAGUUGUACAUCAAUUAUCAUUUCAAUUAAAAGUGUCCAACCCGAAGAUUACCCCACAGACAUGAAGUUCACGAACGCAAAAUCCAUUUACGAAGACCUUCACUGCCUUUACACGGUGCAAUUUUUAGCUGGCAUUUUUAUCAAUUCUCUUUUAAAAUUUCUGCGUAAAUCGUCGCGCCUUUACACGGUGGCAUUUUACUUGGCAUUUUUUCUGACAUUUUAUUUUAUUAGGUAUUUCGUAUAGAGCUGUAUUGUUGUGCUAAUUGUUUCACAUAUUGUCACAUAUUUAUUAAAAUUAUUAACUUUUAUUUUAACUUUCUUUUUUUUUACUUUUUAAAACAAUUUACUUAAAACGAUCACUAAACACAUCACAAUAAAAGAAACGCAUCAAAAAUUACAAUAAAGAAACGAUAUGAACAGCCUGUUCCACGAUCUCGAAAGAAAAUUUGUGCGAACGAAGGCUACUCACUCACUUUCGUAUAAGAAUGCGUUCCACUAACUUUCGUUCUUUCUUUCGCAUAGCCUUACGUGAUUCAGUGUUGCUAAAUAUUUUUUUGGAAAAAUUAAUCGCGAAAUAAAGCAAAAAAAGCGUCAAAUGUCUAAUUUAAACGCGAAAAAGCAGCAGUGGCUCUGUCUCAACUGACAUUUCAGUUGUAAACAAACAAAUUGUAAAUAAACAAACAAAAUAAAAUUUCUAGUGAUUGUGUUCAAACUAUUUGUGCUCUUAGAAAAUAAAAAAAAAGAAUAUUUCCGUAGCCCUAUUUUUUAUGGAGGAGGUUCGAAAUGUGCCACGGAGGAAUUUAAGAGAUGCUUCGAAUUUAUUUGAAGUACCUAACAACCAGUUUGUGGCCAACUUUCGUGUGUCGAAGGAAGUUUUCGGGCUCUUUUGGAUAUGAUGGAAGAGAAGUGGGUGCCCGGUUGCAGAACUACCCAAAUCCGCCCCGAUUUAAAACUUCUUCUGCUGCUUCCAAAAAUUGGCAUUCCUCUGGCGAACACAGGAUUCUCCUCCAUUUACUCAACUAGUGCCCGCAGCUGUGUAGUUGAUGAUUUUUUCGUGCUGGAAUUGAGAAAAUAAAAAAUAUAUAUAUUUGUUGUUCACAUAUUAAA